rfam:Schistosoma mansoni, Puerto Rico, WGS project CABG01000000 data, contig: 0201
AUCCAUCUGACAGGUCCCGAAUAGGACAAAACGCGCGUUCUGGAU